rnacentral:rRNA from 1 species
GGCGGGCCUAACACAUGCAAGUCGAGCGGCCGUAGCAAUACGGCAGCGGCAGACGGGAGAGUAACACGUGGGAACGCGCCCUUCGGUCCGGGAUAACCCAGGGAAACUUGGGCUAAUACCGGAUACGCCCUUACGGGGAAAGAUUUAUUGCCGAAGGAACGGCCCGCGUCCGAUUAGCUAGUUGGUGAGGUAACGGCUCACCAAGGCGACGAUCGGUAGCUGGUCUGAGAGGAUGACCAGCCUCACUGGGACUGAGACACGGCCCAGACUCCUACGGGAGGCAGCAGUGGGGAAUAUUGGACAAUGGGCGCAAGCCUGAUCCAGCCAUGCCGCGUGGGUGAUGAAGGCCCUAGGGUUGUAAAGCCCUUUCAGCGGGGAAGAUAAUGACGGUACCCGCAGAAGAAGCCCCGGCUAACUUCGUGCCAGCAGCCGCGGUAAUACGAAGGGGGCUAGCGUUGCUCGGAAUUACUGGGCGUAAAGCGCACGUAGGCGGCUUUCUAAGUCGGGGGUGAAAUCCUGGAGCUCAACUCCAGAACUGCCUUCGAUACUGGAGAGCUCGAGUCCGGGAGAGGUGAAUGGAACUGCGAGUGUAGAGGUGAAAUUCGUAGAUAUUCGCAAGAACACCAGUGGCGAAGGCGGCUCACU